AAAUUAAUAUAGAUGAAUAAGAGCAUCAUUUCCAUUUCAAACUUCAGUUACUUACUGUGCUAACCUACAUUAUAAAAUUUGAGGUAUUUUCACAAAGAAUACUACUAACUUGACAAAUCACAAAGAACUGAAUAGAGAUCUUCAAACCAAGAAGCAUAUAAUCAUAACACAAAACAAAUGACCAUGUCUAACCGGGUGUAUCUGACCACCUUAAGAUCCUGCAUUCAAAAUAAAUGUAGAAGUAAUCCAGACAAGAACCGCAUGCAAUCAAUAAGCAGAAAAGGACGAUUCACAGAUGUAGAAGAGUAGAAUAGAUGCGAGUGUUUCUAGUGUAUUCUUUUGUUUGUUGUGUGUGGUUUGAAGUGAGAUGGUAAGCUGAAUUAUUUAAAACCCAUAGGAAGUCGAAAGAGAUGUUAAAUUGAACAUUUAAAAUCCAAAUGCAAAUCCCAGCUCCUGCCAAAUAUAACUAGAAAAAUGGACAAGAUUAAGGUGAAAA